rnacentral:rRNA from 1 species
UACGGAGGAUCCGAGCGUUAUCCGGAUUUACUGGGUUUAAAGGGUGCGUAGGCGGCAUGUCAAGUCUGGUGUGAAAGACCCCGGCUCAACCGGGGGGACGCGCUGGAAACUGACGUGCUGGAGUACAGGAGGGGGAGUUGGAAUUCCAGGUGUAGGGGUGAAAUGCGCAGAUAUUAGGAGGAACACCAGUGGCGAAGGCGGCUUUCUGGGCCACGACUGACGCUGAGGCGCGAAAGCUAGGGGAGCGAACGGG